UGUGAAAAAUUUGCAGCUUGAUCAGAAACCUGUCUUGCUGUCCUUCUUUGUUCCCCCUGACCCUUCUGUUCUAGGUUCUUUGGUGACUGCAGCACAUCAGGGUGUGAGCUCGAGUUAUUCCCCACAGGAAAACAAAAAAACAAGAUGGCGGCUGGACCAUUUGGAGAUAUGCAUGGAGAAGAGGAAAACUGAUAUGCUGAGAUAAAAAAGCCACCCCUCUCUUCCUCCUGAAAACCCCACCUCCAAGAUCACCCUUAGCCAGCUCAUGGGUUGGGUUCCAGUCACUGUGUGGCACCUCCCACUUUCAAUUCCCUUAACCCGUUCUCACCUCUGCAACCUUGCCUGUCACCCACUGAUUCCUCCUAGCAAUACCUGGUGCCUCUGUUCCAAUGGCCUCACCCCCUGCAUUUAUAACUCUUUGUUCCAACAAGGUGAGAUGUGUCCUAUUGUCCAGCUGGUGCCAUGACUCUCCUACUCCCCCACAGAGGAAUUUUUCUCUCUCCUCCCACCUCUGCCCCCUCCACAAUUGCAGGGAACCCAUCUCUGCACUAACCGUGGAUGUUUUACUUGGACUAGGGGCUGCUGGAGCAGGAACAGGCUUAUCAUCCCACACUCUGUCCUCCAAACGCUGUGAUGAAUUCAGUACCACUAUUGCCCAGGAUGUCCAGAAACUACAGGCAGGAAUAACUGACCUUAGACUGGCUCUCUACUUCCUUCUGGGUGACAACUCUCCUGCCCUCAAUUUUAGGCCCUUUUAUAGGAUUUUUGUUGUUAAUUUCUUUUGGCCCCUGGGCAUUUAAUCGCUUAACUGGCUUCAUUAAACAACAGAUAGAUUUUCUCAUUGCUAAGCCCAUACAGGUCCAUUAUCAUCGUUUAGCCAUGGAGGACUCAGAAGGCAGGUCACGAUUCCCCUCAUCACUGCCCAUCUCCACCCAGCCUUAGGGGACCCUUUCUUGGCACUGACAUUUCCAGGCAUGUCUGCCACCUAAAUGAGAAUUACUGCUUACAGACAGCAGAGGUACGUUUAUACUAAAUAAUAAAAGGUAAACUAGCCUGGAUCCCUCGGAG
rnacentral:lncRNA from 1 species